AAUGACUGCAGAGGAAAAUGAAACAUUCCAGCCGUGCAACGGUGCCUGUGGAAAAGAGGAUCAGAGGGAAUCGAACACGAUCAUUUAUAAUCUCCGUAAGGACGAUGCUCGAUACGGAUAUACCAGGCACACAGUUCCGGUGGCGUACUUUUCCCGUAAAAGGGAAAACACCCCAAAUAUGAGUUUUCUUCGGCUACAGUCUACCUUCAGUGUUGCGACCAAUGCUUAGUUUGAUUGCCUGGAUAUUCAAUUUUGAGUUCAUUGUUUACAGGUUGAAUGAAUUCUAUAACUUUUAGGACACAUUGGUCCGCUCUAUAUAUUUUGUCAGUUGUUUGAUUAAAAUUUUCUAAAUUAUCUUAAAAUCUAAAUUGUUCUUAAUUGCACGAUUGAUUUAAAAGAGUUGCCUUUCGCUGUUAAUAUAAAAAUAUUGUUAAUAUGAUAUAAACACUUCUUGUUUAAGUAGUAUUCGAUAUGUAACAAGCAUAGAUUAUAGUAGUUAGUUGUAUAGUCAAGCAUUCUAUGUAUACAGGUAGAUAGAUCGACAUUAAUGAAAAUCGAAUGGGACGCAGAACAAUUUAACUACGUGAAAUGCAGAAACUUUUAAUCAAAAUUGUUUUAAACCUAUUUCAACCGGUAUUAUGU
rnacentral:lncRNA from 1 species